GCCGGGCGUGGUGGUGCGCACCUGUAAUCCCAGCUACUUGGGAGGCUGAGGCAGGAGAAUUGCUUGAACCCAGGAGGUGGAGGUUGCAGUGAGCCAAGAUCGUGCCACUGCACUCUAGCCUGGGCAACAGAGCAAGACUCUGUCUCAA
ensembl:misc_RNA Metazoa_SRP Metazoan signal recognition particle RNA